UACGUAGGAGACAAGCGUUGUCCGGAAUUACUGGGUGUAAAGCGCGUGUAGGCGGUAGGCCAAGUCUGCUGUGAAAUCGCCCGGCUCAACUGGGCGCGGUCGGUGGAAACUGGUCAACUGGAGGACGGUAGAGGCGAGUGGAAUUCCCGGUGUAGUGGUGAAAUGCGUAGAGAUCGGGAGGAACACCAGUGGCGAAGGCGACUACCUGGCCUGUUCUUGACGCUGAGGCGCGAAAGCUAGGGGAGCAAACGGG
rnacentral:rRNA from 1 species